rnacentral:rRNA from 1 species
AGAGGUGGCAAGCGUUGUUCGGAAUUACUGGGCGUAAAGGGCGCGUAGGCGGCCCGCCAAGUCCCGUGUGAAAGCCCCCGGCUCAACCGGGGAACGGCGCGGGAAACUAGCAGGCUUGAGUUCGGGAGAGGGAAGCGGAAUUCCGGGUGUAGCGGUGAAAUGCGCAGAUAUCCGGAGGAACACCGGUGGCGAAGGCGGCUUCCUGGACCGACACUGACGCUGAGGCGCGAAAGCUAGGGGAGCAAACGGGAUUAGAUACCCCGGUAGUCCUAGCCCUAAACGAUGAGCACUGGGUGUAGAGGGUAUGAACCCCUUCUGUGCCGAAGCUAACGCAUUAAGUGCUCCGCCUGGGGAGUACGGUCGCAAGGCUG